CUUCGUGGGCGGAGCGCGGCCUGCCCAGAGUGCCUUCUAUAUCCUGGGUCAGGCGCCAAGUUCCCCAGCAUCAUGCAGGAAGCUGCAGCCCCGCAGUUAGGACCGCUCAUUUGGCACUCGAGGAGCCUUUCCCAGGCCAGCAGUCCAAAAUAGAGCCGGGACCCAAGACGCCCACUAGAG
rfam:Macaca mulatta chromosome 3, whole genome shotgun sequence.